rnacentral:lncRNA from 1 species
AUGGAGACUAGCCUGCUGGUAGAGACCUUGGCAGUGACCGCUGUGGGCAAUGAGCCAUGGGCCAACAAUAUUCAAUGCUGUGUACCUGAUGGAUGGUUACUGUCUGAGACUGAGGUUUUUUGGGCCAGGAGUAAAAGGACUUGGUUUGUACUUGAUUGCAUCCUGUGGAUGCUUGCCUACCAACUGACUCAUCCCGACGUGCCAAAGGUCCUGGCUUUCCCCUGUGUGGGUAAGGGAAGACGAGAGUUCUAAUGCUCACAGACAGCUGACUUACUGAGUUUUACUAAGAAACAAAAUCACACACGGUAUAGCUCUACACAAAAGGAACAGAGAGGAUGUUGGGAGUGAGACACCAGGUUCGUGGUCUCCCUUGGGAUGCUUUGUUCAUGAACCUUUAGUGGUACUUCAAAAGGAUACAGCUUUCAAACAAUAAGUUAAGGUCUGUAAGAAUGGACAGUGGUGAGGAGGUGCUAGGACCCAUUUUUUUUUUUUUUAAGAUUCAUCUAAUUUGGUGUAGUGGCAAGGAUCUUUAAAAAAUGGCAAUAUCCUGUAAAGGAGAUUUUGCCCCUGGAACAUU